rnacentral:rRNA from 1 species
AUUGAACGCUGGCGGCAUGCCUUACACAUGCAAGUCGAACGGCAGCACGGGAGCAAUCCUGGUGGCGAGUGGCGAACGGGUGAGUAAUAUAUCGGAACGUGCCCAGUAGUGGGGGAUAACUGCUCGAAAGAGCAGCUAAUACCGCAUACGACCUAAGGGUGAAAGGGGGGGAUCGCAUGACCUCUCGCUAUUGGAGCGGCCGAUAUCAGAUUAGCUAGUUGGUGGGGUAAAGGCCUACCAAGGCAACGAUCUGUAGUUGGUCUGAGAGGACGACCAGCCACACUGGGACUGGGACACGGCCCAGACUCCUACGGGAGGCAGCAGUGGGGAAUUUUGGACAAUGGGCGCAAGCCUGAUCCAGCAAUGCCGCGUGCAGGAAGAAGGCCUUCGGGUUGUAAACUGCUUUUGUCAGGGAAGAAAUCCUCUAGGUUAAUACCCUUGGGGGAUGACGGUACCUGAAGAAUAAGCACCGGCUAACUACGUGCCAGCAGCCGCCGUAAGAC